rnacentral:rRNA from 1 species
GACGAACGCUGGCGGCGUGCUUAACACAUGCAAGUCGAACGGAAAGGCCCCCAUCUUGGUGGGGGUGCUCGAGUGGCGAACGGGUGAGUAACACGUGGGUGAUCUGCCCUGUACUUCGGGAUAAGCUUGGGAAACUGGGUCUAAUACCGGAUAGGACCAUGGUUUAGUGUCUCAUGGUGGAAAGAUUAUUGUUUUGGUGCAGGAUGAGCUCGCGGCCUAUCAGCUUGUUGGUGGGGUAAUGGCCUACCAAGGCGUCGACGGGUAGCCGGCCUGAGAGGGUGGACGGCCACAUUGGGACUGAGAUACGGCCCAGACUCCUACGGGAGGCAGCAGUGGGGAAUAUUGCACAAUGGGCGCAAGCCUGAUGCAGCGACGCCGCGUGGGGGAUGACGGCCUUCGGGUUGUAAACUCCUUUCGUUAGGGACGAAGCCACGCUUUUUUGGUGUGGUGACGGUACCUUUGUUAAGAAGCACCGGCUAACUACGUG